rnacentral:rRNA from 1 species
AGCCUGCCCAAUGAGGAUUUAAAUGGCCGCGGUAACCUGACCGUGCAAAGGUAGCAUAAUAAUUAGUUUUUUAAUUGAAAGCUGGUAUGAAAGGUUUGAUGAGAAAAUAACUGUCUCUAUCUAAAUUUAUUAGAAUUUUAUUUUUAAGUAAGAAAGCUUAAAUUUCAAUAAAAGACGAGAAGACCCUAUAGAGUUUUAAUUUGGUUGGGGUGAUCGAAAAAUUAAAUAAACUUUUUUUAUAUUUAACCAUUUAUUUAUGAGUAAAUGAUCCUCAUUUAGAGAUUAUAAGAGUAAAUUACCUUAGGGAUAACAGCGUAAUUUUUUUAAAGAGUUCAAAUCGAAAAAAGGGAUUGCGACCUCGAUGUUGGAUUAAAAUAAAAUUUUGGUGUAGGGGCUAA